rnacentral:rRNA from 1 species
UGGGGAAUAUUGGACAAUGGGGGAACCCUGAUCCAGCCAUGCCGCGUGAGUGAUGAAGGCCCUAGGGUUGUAAAGCCCUUUCAACGGUGAAGAUAAUGACGGUAACCGUAGAAGAAGCCCCGGCUAACUUCGUGCCAGCAGCCGCGGUAAUACGAAGGGGGCUAGCGUUGUUCGGAAUUACUGGGCGUAAAGCGCACGUAGGCGGAUUGAUCAGUCAGGGGUGAAAUCCCGGGGCUUAACCCCGGAACUGCCUUUGAUACUGUCUGUCUAGAGGUCGAGAGAGGUGAGUGGAAUUCCGAGUGUAGAGGUGAAAUUCGUAGAUAUUCGGAAGAACACCAGUGGCGAAGGCGACUCACUGGACAAGUAUUGACGCUGAGGUGCGAAAGCGUGGGGAGCAAACAGGAUUAGAUACCCCCGUAGUCC